rnacentral:snoRNA from 1 species
UGGACCAAUGAUGAUGACUGGUGGAGUAUGAGUCAUGAACGAUGAAUAGUUGUCUGGAACUCUGAGGUCCAG